UCCCAAAUGUACAUUUAAUGUCCAUUAAAUGCAUUAAAUGCAUUUGAUUUUUGACAAAUUCAAAUCACAUUAACAGUGUACUUGAAAUGUCAAAUCCGACGUUCACCCACCACAACACGUAUCCAGGUUAGUUGCUCGUUUGUUGUGACGUCUGUUUUUCCUGUUUAACAAUGAUGGUCCAGCUCCGUUGAUUAUAACUUGCGUUAAAAAUAUACCUACCCCCGUAUUUUCAGAGAAAAUGCUUUCCCCUUGAACAGAACCGGAGAUGCAGCCGCUGAAACUUUGUCAGAAUGCCAGAUGUUUGAUGCUCCAUCGGCGGAACCAAGCCACUGUGAUGAAUACGCUGCGAUCCGCGAUCGGGACAUGACACUAUCAUCACAGAGAAUUCUCUGUGAGUCUGUGCUAUCAUCACUGCAACACUUCCGGACCUUCCGUACCGUCUAUUCACUGCAGAACUACGCUCUGUGGAGUGGUGAUAUGGUGGAGGUGGUAAAAAGCGGUGCUGGAUUCCGGAGUCGGCUGCAACAAGCAACGGAAAUGGGUAAUCAAACUGGAGCAAACGGCUUAAUAGUGAUUGCUGCAGUCCUCAAGCAAGCAUCAGAGAUCGAGACAGUGCAGUGAUAUGGGAAAUUCCGGUUCAAUCAAAUCAAGCAUGGCCACAACAUAAGGAAUCAGGAUCAUGCCGGCCAUUCCCACUAUCUCAGUUCGACGUAGAGUGCAGCGAACUCGUGGAUCAUCCCAUCCUUCACCGCCGGAGAUCAUCUAUAGCACGCAUCAAUAUACUACUAUAUAUACUACUCUAAAUGAGCCAAUUUUUCUGGCACUUCUGUUAAUUACAUCCUUCAGUUGCGUUAAAUAAAAUUUGCGAUUGGGA